rnacentral:rRNA from 1 species
UGGGGAAUAUUGGACAAUGGGGGCAACCCUGAUCCAGCAAUGCCGCGUGUGUGAAGAAGGUCUUCGGAUUGUAAAGCACUUUCGACGGGGACGAUGAUGACGGUACCCGUAGAAGAAGCCCCGGCUAACUUCGUGCCAGCAGCCGCGGUAAUACGAAGGGGGCUAGCGUUGCUCGGAAUGACUGGGCGUAAAGGGCGUGUAGGCGGUUUACACAGUCAGAUGUGAAAUCCCCGGGCUUAACCUGGGAGCUGCAUUUGAUACGUGUAGACUAGAGUGUGAGAGAGGGUUGUGGAAUUCCCAGUGUAGAGGUGAAAUUCGUAGAUAUUGGGAAGAACACCGGUGGCGAAGGCGGCAACCUGGCUCAUGACUGACGCUGAGGCGCGAAAACGCGUGGGGAGCA